rnacentral:rRNA from 1 species
GACGAACGCUGGCGGCGUGCCUAAUACAUGCAAGUCGAACGCUGAAGGAGGAGCUUGCUUCUCUGGUUGAGUUGCGAACGGGUGAGUAACGCGUAGGUAACCUGCCUGUUAGUGUGGGAUAACUUCUGGAAACGAUAGCUAAUACCGCAUAAUAGUAGAUGCUGCAUGACAUUUGCUUAAAAGUUGCAAUUGCUUCACUACCAGUUGCACCUUCGUUGUAUUAGCUUGUUGGUGUGGUAACGGCUCACCAAGGCGACGAUACGGAGCCGACCUGAGAGGGGGAGUGGCCGCACUGGGAGGGAGACAGGGCCCAGACGGCUAGGGGAGGGAGCAGGAGGGAAUCGUGGGGAAUGGGCGGAAGUCAGACCAGGAAAGGCGGAGGGAGUGAAGAAGGUUGUCGGGUCGGAAAGGUCGGUUGUAAGGGAAGAAAGAGUGUGAGAGUGGAAAGAACACAGUGUGACGGUAACUGACAAGGAAGGGACGGCUAACUACGUG